GUGGGUGUGGCGAAGCGGUUAACGCACCGGAUUGUGGCUCCGGCACUCGUGGGUUCGAUCCCCAUCAUCCACCCCA
rnacentral:tRNA from 1 species